rnacentral:other from 1 species
AUGUCCCUGCUGUGCCCGUGAUGCCGCACCCCGGUUUUGAGCCAACACUUUUGUGACGGGGGGCGGCCUCUUCAUCGGAAAGCGAUAGGCUGCAAGGUAAGCCAAGGCUGCCCGGCGAAGUAGCUCUCCAACCUGCUUCGGCAGGCACAAAACCCCGCGGACACACGGCAUGGUGGGGCGGAA